CCUAGUACGGUAAAGUACCUUUAUUGAGUUGGGGAACGGUAAAAGACCCCGAGUACGGUAAAGUACUCAGAGUGUGUGGAGGACGGUAAAGGACUCCGGGUACAGUAUUUGGGAUACGGUAAAGGAUCCUAAAUACGGUACAGUACCCAGUGUGUGUGUGGAGGACGGUAAAGGACUCCGGGUACAGUAUUUUGGGAAACGGUAAAGGAUCCUUGAAUACGGUAUAGUACCCAUGUGUAGAGUUGGGAGACGGUAAAGGAUCCUGACAAUGAGAUAGUGCGACCGCUAAUGCUGAGUUGUCAUGGUGAGCUGUUCUUUUAUUAUGGUUGUAAGCGAAUCCAGACUGGAUACAUAAUUUAGUAGUAUUCGCUUAGAACCCUGGUGCAUGACAAA